GAUGAACGCUAGCGGGCGGCUUGACACAUGCUAGGCGGGCGGUAGGGCAGCAAUGCCUGAAAGCGGCGCACCGGUGCGUAACGCGUUUGCAACGUUCCGUAUCCCGGGGAAUAGCCCAGGGAAACGUGGAUUACUGUCCAAUAGGACUACGCAUUCGCCUAGAUCUGUGUGUGUAACUUAGGUGGUAUAAGAUGGGCAUGCGUCUGAUUAGGUAGGUGGUAGGGUAAUGGCCUACCAAGCCGACGAUCAGUAGGGGUUCUGAGAGGAUUACCCCCCACACUGGUACUGAGACACGGACCAGACUCCUACGGGAGGCAGCAGUGAGGAAUAUUGGUCAAUGGCCGGAAGGCUGAACCAGCCAUCCCGCGUGCAGGAUGACGGCCCUAUGGGUUGUAAACUGCUUUUGUACCUGAAGAAACCUGUUUACGAGUAGACAGUUGCCGGUAAGGUAUGAAUAAGCAUCGGCUAACUCCGUGCCAGCCGCCGCUGUAAAAC
rnacentral:rRNA from 1 species